ACAAAAUCAUUUAUAAAAGCAAAAUUCAAGUUCGAUGAAGUUACAUUCAAAGAAAGCGAGACCCAUCUGUCCGCAACAAUAUAUUUACUGGAAUAUAUGUACCCAUGUGAUCUAACAUUCUUCUACAAAUGAUGAGGGGGCAAGGCAUUCAAGAUUUAAGGAAGACUAGCCUAUAAACUAACGAUGGAAGAAAAAUAUAAAGUUUGGAUAAAAUCAACUAAGGCAGGGGAUUAUAUCAACAGUAUUGGUUAUCUUGAAAUCAUGUCUUUGGAACGCAUUGUUGAAUUCAUCAUCUUAAAAGCCAGAGGACAUAUUCAAAAAAAGGAGAGAGGGAGUCAUUUGUAUUAUACAAAUAAUAUGAAUUUUGUGAACUAUUUUGAAUACUAAUUUCAUCUAUUUUUAUCAUCUGAAUAUACAGUAAGUAAGAAGAUGCAAAUUUAUAAAUAAUAUGAUAAUAUUAAUGUAAACAUAUAUUUUUUGAUCGUGUGAUAUACUAACAUAUAAAUUUCCAGAAAAUGAAAAUGGGACGAUUAAGUUGUUCAAUCAUGCCUGAUGAUACUUAAACAAGGGAUUUAGAUCCAGAGCCAGAAUACAACCUUUGUAAUAUACUGUGGAUAGUUCAAUGAACUACUAUACCAAUUAUUUUGGUCGAUGUGUUGUCCCUGCAAUAUCCGGGUGUGUUCAAAACAACGUAUUGUUUGAUGCAUGGAAUUCGAG